GGCUCAGGACGAACGCUGGCGGCAUGCUUCAUACAUGCAAGUCGAACGAUAAGGUCUCUUCGGAGAUACAUAAGUGGCGGACGGGUGAGUAAUAUGUAGGAAAUCUGCCCUAGAGAGGGGGACAACAGAGGAAACUUCUGCUAAUACCCCAUAUGAGCGUACCUGAAAUGGUAUUCUUGAAAACUCCGGUGCUCUAGGAUGAGCCUGCAUCUGAUUAGCUAGUUGGCGGUGUAAUGGACCACCAAGGCGACGAUCAGUAGCUGGUUUGAGAGGAUGAUCAGCCACAAUGGGACUGAGACACGGCCCAUACUCCUACGGGAGGCAGCAGUAGGGAAUUUUGCGCAAUGGGCGAAAGCCCUGACGCAGCAAUGCCGCGUGAACGUAGAAGCCCUUCGGGGUGUAAAGUUCUGUCAGUGGGGACGAAUUUUGACGGUACCCACAGAGGAAGCACCGGCUAACUCCGUGCCAGCCGCCGC
rnacentral:rRNA from 1 species